rnacentral:tRNA from 1 species
CAUUAAGUGACUGAAAGAAAGUAUUGAUCUCUUAAAUCACAUCAUGGUAUAGUUGCGAAUACUCUUAAUGA